CUAGGGCCACACACAUCCUACAAUGGCAUCAACAACGGGUCGCAAUGGGGUAACCCGGAGCUAAUCCUUAUAAAU
rnacentral:autocatalytically_spliced_intron from 1 species